CACACACACACACACACACAAUGUCUCUUCGGGCUGGCCUGGCGAGGCGCAGGGAAGAGAGUGGGGCCGUGGCUUUUCCAGCCCAGCCCAAGAUCCCAGGUAUCCGCGAACACGGCGGCGGCCUAACACGGCGAGUCCUUCUUCUCCCAGGCCAAGGCAGGAGCCUUGGGACGCGCCUUAUGGAAAGAGCGGCAACUCCCUCGGUGUCUCCGUGCGCCCAAGGCCGCGAGGCGGAUUUGCGAAGGUCCGCGCAAAGCUUCCCCGAUGCUUCUCCCCAAACUGACCAGGGUUUGCCUUGGAAAGCCAGGAACUGAGAAUGGCCUCUACCGUAGAUAUCUGCCAGCAAAAUAUCCCGGUCCAAAGCAAAGCAGAUCUGUAGCUGGAACGAAGGUUGAUCUCAUCAAUGCUGGGAACGAGUGGAUUUAUCUGCGAGCGAAAGAGACCACCGUCUCGCUUUCUCCCGCACGCUCUUCUGAUCCCCCCCUCCCUCCGCCAAUACUUCGGGGAACCGGCUCGCUAGUUGAGAUAGUCUCCGUUUGCCUAAGUGCUCAUCCUGGCCAACGAGCGAGAGAGGAGACGAAACCUGCCAUGAGAAGCAGGCGUUCUCCUUGAAUUCCUCGCGUCUACUACUACCUUAAUAAAGGUGGGUACGUAAAUUUGAAUGGACAAUUUCAUUUCCAACAGCAGGGUAUGGAGCGAACCUCUUCCGGGAAUGGACGACGCGGAGGCGGGGCUUGACCUGCGGGGUGAAAGGAGUGGCGUUAAGGCGGCUCCCAUCCAGAGCUCCGCCCACCACAAGCGGCUCUAAGCCGUGGUUUGUGGGCUGCAGCACAAUGCCGAGAUCAGCCAAGACCAUCUUCGGGCUUUGCUUGCAGUGUUGGAUCCAAAGGGAGACGUGGGAGGGUUCUUGAUUCAUUUAGUGGGGAGGGGACUUAGAUUCUCUUUAAGUCAGCCUCAAGCUUUUGGCUAGGACCCCUCCCCGUAGUCACAGCAGUGCCAACCCAGCAAAUCUUGCUUGGUGUUCCCGGAUUCCCAUCUCGCAGCAGUGCCUGACGGUGCAGCGUAAGCUACUUGUCCUGUGGAGCAACCCCAUCAAAACGAAAAAAAGAAAGCCGGUCCGGAUCAAAAGGUGCUCGGUAUUGCCCGCCCUUUCCUAAGCUAGACUGUUGAUCCAAGCUAGACUGAGUUUUGCAGCUCUACAUGAGAAGUCAAGAGUUUGUGACCCUCGCUGCAAUACAAUUUUCGGUCAAAAUAAAAAUGUGACGGACUCAGCUAGUGACAACCAGCAGCUCUCCAGAAUUUCAAGACUGAGAGGUUGAUCCGGGGGCCUUUUGGGUGCAAAGCUUAGUUUCGGCCGGGGCUCGGUUUAAGGGCAGAAGCCCAGACAGACAACGCAGAAUGUUGCCUAUAGACGAUUCCCCAGCACAACCCGCGGCUGACAAGGAAGCGUCCGCUGUCGCGGAACUCCGGUAAUCCGGGCCCAUUCCAUUCGCCCGGUCAGAGUUGCUGGGGCAAGGAACCCACUCGGCCAAGAGAGCCGAACCCCGUAUGCAAGAGAAAACGUAUGCGUACGGGGUUCUGGAAGGCUCCCCUUUUCGCCCGGAAGCCCUAGUCGCUGCUUCCAUAGGGCAAGAGGAAGCGCGCGUGCCCUAAGACGCGCCUCCUUGAACCCGGGAGAUUCUGUCCGGGAGGGAGCGCAAACUUAGCAAGACGAUCAACCAUUGUGUUGCACCGGAAGUUGGGCUACACCAAGAAUAAAGGCCCCGGAUCGGUGUUUUUCACACUUGGCAACUUGACUUUUAACUCCUAGAAUUCCCCAGCGACGCAUCUUAAAAUUGCCAAGUUUGAAAAAAACCCUGAUGGGUGGUUAAAAGUCAAUAUCUUCCAAAACGUUAGUCAUUAUUUGAGAAGAGUAGAGCUGGGUGAAGAAAGUAUGGCUUCCAUUGAUCGCUGAAGGAAUUCACCAAUUGCUGAUGACUUGCGUGUGAGGACUUUGUCCCUAUCUGAAAUGCUUUGGAAAUGGCACACUGUUGGAGUCAUCCAAGACUGAGCGUUUGACACUAGCAGCAUGCAUAAAGGACAUCUUCAUGGAUUUUAGCCUUCCUAUUCACUUGCUCCCCAGAUAUACUGGGCUUCAAACCUCACUAUUCUCACCAGGGCAGACAAGCAGUCUGAGAAUUAAUGGGAGUUGUAGUCUAGCUGAAAUCAAAGAUACAAGGAUGGAAAGUCUCAGUGUUCCCAAACUAAUCUUUAAGUCUGGCACCAUCACAAGAAAAAUUUCUGUGCUGCACACUGCUUUCUUUUUAACACUUUAGUCAGGAAAUGUAGCUAAUUGUGGCAUAAACUGCCUGGGAGAGUCCCAUAACUAUCAAAGUUCCCGCCUGAGCUGAGCUAUCUGCUAACUCCUUUGGAUAGCAGUUCAGAAGUGGUCUACCACUGUGGCUUUGGGGGAUUUUUUUUCUUUUAACCUCUCAGCCCAGCCUACAGCCCUGGGAUUUCCUGUCGUCCCAUCUAAAUAUUAUCAGAAAAACUCAUAAAGAACAAUGGAAGAAAGAGGAGACAGGAUAACAAAACAAAAUAUUGGGAAACAAAGACACAUUUCUAACAGCUCAGAUAAUAUUGUAACAUAUAAUGCGUUAGAAGUCCUAAUCUGUAUGUAGCCCCUUGUUCCUUGCAUUACUAUGUUUUUCUUGAUUCUUCAAUUUGGUUCUUUAAAUCUUUUGGAAUUGGGCUUUGCUUUCCUGGCUGUGCAACAGGACACAUAACAUUAUAUUAAAAACUGCUCAGAAUUGA